rnacentral:rRNA from 1 species
GUGAGGAAUAUUGGUCAAUGGGCGGGAGCCUGAACCAGCCAAGUCGCGUGAAGGAAGAAGGAUCUAUGGUUCGUAAACUUCUUUUGCAGGAGGGUAAAGUGAGCUACGUGUAGUUCAUUGCAAGUACCCUGCGAAUAAGCAUCGGCUAACUCCGUGCCAGCAGCCGCGGUAAUACGGAGGAUGCGAGCGUUAUCCGGAUUUAUUGGGUUUAAAGGGUGCGUAGGCGGACUAAUUAGUCAGCGGUGAAAUUUUGCGGCUCAACCGUAAAACUGCCGUUGAAACUGUUAGUCUUGAGUGCGGUAGAGGUAGGCGGAAUGUGUGGUGUAGCGGUGAAAUGCUUAGAUAUCACACAGAACACCGAUUGCGUAGGCAGCUUACUGGAGCGCAACUGACGCUGAGGCACGAAAGCGUGGGGAUCGAACAGGAUUAGAAACCCGAGUAGUCC